CAGCCAGGAAGUUCCCAUUCUGCCAGAAGGUUGACAAAGGAGCUCAUGUGAGAAUAGAGACAGUCAUAAGCGCAUGUGAACGAUACCUCCAGCGGAGGACUACAAUUUGAAUAAGAAGAUGCUGCGUUUACUCAUUCUGUUUUUUAUUCUUCAAGGUGCAGCUGCAACAUCAGAAGACACAGAAGGAAAUUCUUCAGGAGAUAAUAUCAGUGACGAUGAGGAUGGUGACGAUGUAGUGAAGCCAAGGCAUCCUGUAUAUGCAGGUCCUGAAACUCCUGGAGCAAGUCCUGGAUCAGAUAAAUCCACAGGAGACGAUGAAGCUAAUGGAGGUGGAACAUUGGUAAUCAUCAUAGCUGCCGUUAGCGUCAUAGUUCUGGCCAUUGGAGGUAUUGUAGCUAUUGUCCUCCUCAGACGCUACUUGCAAAGCCGAGAACAGGGGGUCUACUCUGUGCCAGCAGAGCAAGGACAGAAAGCUGCUGUCUAACCAUCAGGGCCUUUUCAUUUCCCCUCUCCACUGGAUCCUUUCAGGGACGUGCUGCAAGCAUGUGAUUUCUCAUCCGAAUGUAUCUAUAUCUAUAGCGGAUUCUAUAACAUCAGUAGACGAGAAUGUGUUGCGAUCACAAAUUUCCUAUGAACCGUUUUUAAAUGCACAAUGUAUACUGUUCAUGCACACAUGCCGUAUGUUGCACUCACAGAGAAAGUCCUUGGACUGUGUAGUACAGCUCAUUGGAACAUUUUCCUCUCUGCCUGCAAUACUUUUUUAUUUAAAUCAAGUUCAGACCAUUUUUAAACUCUGCUUAAAGGUAUGUAAUAUUUUUCCAUCUUUAGAUAUUCUCCUUAAAAGUAAGCCAUUCAUAGUCAUCAAAAAUAUAAACAAAUGGCAUGAGUUUGGGGUGGGACCAUCUAAUUAACUAGCCAAUGGCAGACAGUGCCACAGAAAUCAUGAACUGCAGCUUUAAGCAAACAUCCUCCUUAUUUUUGCUCCCGGUCCUCAAAUGUUAGCUGUCCCCAGUGCAUUUAAAGUGACAAAAUCAAGGCGGUUAAAAGAUAAAGCUGGUGUCUGGCUCUCUGAUUAUUUGACAAAAGAGAGAAAGAAGCGGAGAGAGAAAAACGAGUGGAACUCUGAACACCCACUUGUCAAAUGGUGAAUUAAUCAACCGCUUUCUUUUUCCUUUCUUUCACCGUGGCCAACUCCUCUAAAGCACAGCAGAUUGUAAAUAGCUCUGGGAUGCUGGGUAGCAGACUAAUGUUUCAUAUAUACUCCUGGCUUUAAUAGGAAGACAAUCCGAUGGGCGGAUGGAAUAAAGAUACAACACGUAGCUACAAUGAGGUCCAAAAGUCCAUUACCCACUUUAAAAACAGAUUUUUUAAAAAUUGUCAGUAAAGAUUAUUUGAGAUUCUUCUUCUUCUUUUAACGUUUAAAAUAGUUAACCCUGGGUCAUUCGAAGCAGUCCUAGGUUAUCUUGUUUCACACUGCUCAUAAUUACGACAUGGCGUGAACGCAGCUUUAUUUACAUAUUCGCAAUACAUUGUCAUUGAUCAUGUGAUGUUUACAGCAUUGCGCACCCUCAUAUUGCAGAUGUAGUCUACUAAAGUUUUCCGCAACGUUUUUUUUUUCGUUGGACUAUAAAGGUAAGAAUAAAACAGUCUCUUCUUUACGCCAAUACAUGUGUUUCGAGUCACCCUCAGGCAUUUUUUCCACUUAAUGAAACGACUGUUUAUGCGAGGCGCGGUGUUUCCGUGACGGUUUGAAGCAAGUCAGUCGAGGCACGUGAUUGGGUGUCUAUUGCUAAGAGUUCUGGCACCGCAAAUGCGGUGUCAAACCGGCUUCUAAAUUACAAGUGUAAAACCUACUUUUACCCGGGGUUAAAAGCGGAGUCUGUAAGUACAGUAAAGUGGGGUAACGCGAGGUGUGAAAGCCCAAAUGUGUCACUUGCUGUUGUCAAUUUACUAGCAGUUUCUGAAUGAAAAAAUAAAGUUUUUUCCCCCCAAUUUAACAACAUUUGAAGACACAUUACAUAAUCAAUUAUAACGAUAAAAUUUUUUACUUUUUCAAUUGUAUAGCCUAUUUUCAGAUUUUGAAUCCCAGAUUUUUAGUGUGGACUCAGACUUUUGGACCCCAGUGUAUCCACAGCAUCAUCGAUUGAAACUAAGACACUAUAACGAGCUGCUUACUUUUAUCUUCCUCUUUCUCUCUCAUCUUUUUUCUUCCAUUUUUUUAGAUUAAAAUGGAAAUCAAUCAAAGCCCUUUUAGCCUGAGUCUCGGGACUCAGAGCUUCUCAGCUUUUUAAUCUGAAUUUACACAAACACUGCUGAGGCAAAGUUUUUCUGUGAUUUCUUGCUAUCUUGUUAAAGGGACAGUUCACCCAAAAAUGAACAUUUUGUCUUCAUUUACUGACACUAAUGUUAUUCCAGAUCUAUAUGACUUACUUUCUUCUGUUGAACACAAAAAAAAGAUAUUAGGAAGAACAUUUGGGGUCCAAAAACAUUGGACCACAUUGACUUUUAUUGUAUAGACGAAAACAUUGUUAUACAGAAGAAAGUAAGUCAAACAGACAUGGAAUGACAUUAGGAUAAAUAAAUAUUUUUAUGAAUACAAAAUUUGAAUUUUUAUGUAGCUAAUAACUGUCUGGCCACCCAGCCUGUGUAUAUACGUACAACAUGGGAGGGCUGCUAACCCAGAUCUCUUUUUAAAAAUGUUUCCAUUUCCUUUCUAGCUGAAUUUUCUGUUUCUUGAUUACCUGCUUUUCUUGAGCUUGCCGGUUUUCUAUUUAAAUCUAAAUUAAAUCCAAUCUUGCGUGCAUCAGACAGCUUGAGCUUGUUACUUUGAUGCGUGUGGGUGUGUAUAAAGGCAUUAGUGUGUAAUAUUAAUCAAGAUUUGCAAUAUAGCUAUUCUGGUAAAUCAUUUGCUAAAGGUGUCCUUAGACAAUAGCAUUUCAGAUAACUGGAAUUGGAAAAACAGAAAAAAAUAAAUAAAUUUCAGCUCCUUUGAGUCAUUCUGAAAGCCAGUUUCACAUCAUUUUGACAUUUUCCUCCCACUUUUUAAUAUAUAUAUAUAUAUAUAAAUAAACCGUUGGGUUUUAUUAACUCCAACAACUUUCUCUUGGGCUUUUUGGGCGGGUUGCUUUAUGCCAUGUGAAAGGACUUUAUACUGUAAAAAAUACAAAUAAAAAGCUUUGAUAUUCCCCCAUUCAAGUAACUCCACAAAUGAAUCAUGUACAUCUUGUUAUCAUGUAAGAUAACAUUCGGUUCACACAGAUUCACAUUUCAAUUCUGUUACCGGUUAGAUCUAUAUGACUUACUUUCUUCUGUCUGACACAAAAUAAUAUAUUAGGAAGAACGUCUGGGGUCCAAAAAACAUUGGAAUAGACAAAAAAUACACAGAAGUCAGUCAGUCAAACAGGUUUGGAAUGACAUGAAGUAAAUCAUGACAAGACUUUCAUUUUAUGUAAUACCUGUCUGCCCACCUGUCCAUGUAUACACGCACAACAGGAGAGGGCUGUUAACCCAGAUCUCUUUUUAAAAAAAUAUUUCCAUUUCCUUUCUAGCUGAAUUUUCUGUUUCUUGAUUACCUGCUUUUCUUGAGCUUGCCGGUUUUCUAUUUAAAUCUAAAUUAAAUCCAAUCUUGCGUGCAUCAGACAGCUUGAGCUUGUUACUUUGAUGCGUGUGGGUGUGUAUAAAGGCAUUAGUGUGUAAUAUUAAUCAAGAUUUGCAAUAUAGCUAUUCUGGUAAAUCAUUUGCUAAAGGUGUCCUUAGACAAUAGCAUUUCAGAUAACUGGAAUUGGAAAAACAGAAAAAAAUAAAUAAAUUUCAGCUCCUUUGAGUCAUUCUGAAAGCCAGUUUCACAUCAUUUUGACAUUUUCCUCCCACUUUUUAAUAUAUAUAUAUAUAUAUAAAUAAACCGUUGGGUUUUAUUAACUCCAACAACUUUCUCUUGGGCUUUUUGGGCGGGUUGCUUUAUGCCAUGUGAAAGGACUUUAUACUGUAAAAAAUACAAAUAAAAAGCUUUGAUAUUCCCCCAUUCAAGUAACUCCACAAAUGAAUCAUGUACAUCUUGUUAUCAUGUAAGAUAACAUUCGGUUCACACAGAUUCACAUUUCAAUUCUGUUACCGGUUUCUCUUCGUGGUUGAAGUAAGAACAGAGUGGAAAAUGCAGAUGCAGAUUGUCCCUCUGAAGGUCGCUCUCAACAGUCUUUGAAGAGAAAACCAUGAGAGAUUGUAUUGUAUUUCCUUUCAAUAGAGGCUGUUUCUGACAUCAGCGCUCAUUUUCUUUUAUGUUAUGUAAGGUAUUCUGUCAGCAAAAAUGUAUACUUAAAAUAGUUUUAUGAAAAGUUUAUGAGGUAUGAAAGAGAUUAUCCAUUUAUAUUUUUCUUUUAUAAAUGUUAUCAGUAGUGUUUUUCUUUGAACUCUUUUGUAGCACAGUGUCACUGGAUAAAGCAGCGUAAUAAAUCAUGCAGUAGUCGAUAUACGCCUUAUUUUCAGUACUCCAUUAAUUCGAAUUUCUGAGUACAUUUGACCAACAGUUUGAUAAUGUACUAUACUACAAUCCCAGUGAAUAAGAAUAGAGUCCAGAGCAUUGACAGUGCACAGCCUUGAUUCCUCAUGAUAACUGUUGCCAUUAUUAAUGGACAUUUGUGUGAUUUCUACUGAAGUUUAAAGGUUAAUGCCUGUUGCUGUAUAUAUUUUAUAAGACAACCUGUCAUCUAUUUGUUGUAUGAGACCUAUUUUAAAUAAAUAUUAUUGUUCUCAACAGCUGUGCUAGUAUUAUACUGAAAACUGUAUGUAUCUGUUUUGGGUGGGAAUUAGUAUAGUGAUCAUAAAAAUGACUAAAUGCAUAGUUUUACACCAGGACGACAGUUUGGUAUUUAUUCUAAUAUGAAAAAUUUGAUCAUCAUUAUCAGCUACUCAUUGCAUGAUUAUACUCCAUUAGCAUGGUGCUACUGUGAACGAAAAUAUUUCCUUUGAAAAAAAAAAUGUUAAAGUAAUAAUACAGUUAAAUAAUAAUAAUUGUUAUAAUUCAUAAUUAUUAAAUUGAAUAAAAUUAAAUUUAUGGUACUUUUUG
ensembl:lncRNA